rnacentral:rRNA from 1 species
UACAGAGGGGGCAAGCGUUUGUUCGGAAUUACUGGGCGUAAAGGGCGCGUAGGCGGCCUGCUAAGUCGAACGUGAAAUCCCUGGGCUCAACCCAGGAACUGCGUCCGAUACUGGUUGGCUUGAAUCCGGGAGAGGGAUGUGGAAUUCCAGGUGUAGCGGUGAAAUGCGUAGAUAUCUGGAGGAACACCGGUGGCGAAGGCGACAUCCUGGACCGGGUAUUGACGCUGAGGCGCGAAAGCCAGGGGAGCAAACGGG